rnacentral:rRNA from 1 species
UACGUAGGGUGCGAGCGUUGUCCGGAAUUAUUGGGCGUAAAGAGCUUGUAGGCGGUUUGUCGCGUCUGCCGUGAAAAUUCGAGGCUCAACCUCGAACUUGCGGUGGGUACGGGCAGACUAGAGUGUGGUAGGGGAGACUGGAAUUCCUGGUGUAGCGGUGAAAUGCGCAGAUAUCAGGAGGAACACCGGUGGCGAAGGCGGGUCUCUGGGCCGAUAUUGACGCUGAGGAGCGAAAGCGUGGGGAGCAAACAGG